CCUACGGGAGGCAGCAGUGGGGAAUAUUGGGCAAUGGGCGCAAGCCUGACGCAGCAACGCCGCGUGAAGGAAGAAGGCUUUCGGGUUGUACACUUCUUUUAAGGGGGAAGAGCAGAAGACGGUACCUCUUGAAUAAGCUACGGCUAACUACGUGCCAGCAGCCGCGGUAAUACGUAGGUGGCAAGCGUUGUACGGAUUUACUGGGUGUAAAGGGCGUGCAGCCGGAGAGACAAGUCAGAUGUGAAAUCCACGGGCUCAACCCGUGAACUGCAUGUGAAACUGUUUCCCUUGAGUGUCGGAGAGGUGAUCAGAAUUCCUGGUGUAGCGGUGAAAUGCGUAGAGAUAAGGAAGAACACCAGUGGCGAAGGCGGAUUACUGGACGAUAACUGACGGUGAGGCGCGAAAGCGUGGGGAGCAAACAGGAUUAGAUACCCUUGUAGUC
rnacentral:rRNA from 1 species